rnacentral:tRNA from 1 species
GCGCACGUGGCGGAACUGGUAGACGCGCUAGGUUGAGGGCCUAGUGGGAGUUAAAUCCCGUGGAGGUUCGAUUCCUCUCGUGCGCACCU